UGUAUAGCUUUCUUUAGAGGUAACCAUUGCGAACAAGAACGUGAUCUUCCCUCCUUUUAUAGAAAUCAGUCUUCUCUUAUAAUCCAAUCAGAAUGAUAGGGUGAUUUCACCUGAUUAGUACUUGUUCACACUUUCCCAAAUGCUGCUAAUAUGAUUAGUGAAAUUAUGUUGGCUGGCCAUUUUGUGCCAGGACCAAAAAAAAGUGAAAUUUGGGUUUUUGUGAUUAAAGUAAAAAAAAUUUGGCCAAUUAAGCUUUUUGCAAUUAUUUAAAAUGCAUCUGAUCACUCUACACAAUAAUCUAGACACAAUGUGAAUCAACACCACAACAAAUGAAGCAGAAAAAUUUGCAAAACACUAAAUGUAUGUCACUGCCAAUACUUUUGGCAAUGGCUGUACUGUGUUAUUUAUUACAAAAACAGAGAACUCUUUAAUAAUGAUGAGAUGAUUAGUUUAAUAUACACUACCAGUCAAAUGUUUGCACACACUUGACUGAAUACAAGUGAAGCUCAAUCGACAGCAUUUGUGGCAUAAUAUUGAUAACCACUAAAACAAAAUUUUAACUUUUCCCUCCUCUUGAUUAAAAAAAAGCAAAAAUCGAGGUUACUGUGAGGCGCUUACAAUGGAAGUGAAUGGGACCAAUCCAUAAACAUAAAAAUUCUCACUGUUUCUGAAGUAUAGCCACAAGAAAUGAACAAUAUGCGUAUUUACAUGAUUUUUAGUGUGAUAAAAUCGCUUACUAACCCUUUCUGGGUAAAGUUAUAUCCAAUUUUACAACUUUGUUACCUUGACGACAUAACACUGUAAACCCUAAAAUGACUGUAAAAAUGACAAUUUAAACAACUUCACAGCUCAAACAAUAAAUUAUUUUUAACAGAAUAAUUAAUGUAAGUGCUUUGUUAAAAUUAUAAGCUUCACAUUUCUGCCUUUAAACCCUCCAAAAAUUGUCCCCAUUCACUUAAUUAUUUUCACUUAAAAAAAUUGUUUUAAAAGCUUGUGCUUAAAUAAUUGUAAAACAAAUGUAAAUUGUGUCCACUUAUGGAUUUCAUUACAAAACUACAUUAUUAAUAUGAAAAAGAUAAUAAACAGGAACUCCUACAAUACAGUUGCAUAUUAAAGGAAUGAUUCACCCAAAAAUUUACAUUUACUCAUCCUCAUGCCGUCCCAGAUGUGUAUGACUUUCUUUCUUCUGCUGAACACCUUUUUAUACACUACAUAACCACUUUCACUUCCACAUUCUUCUUCUUUUGUUUUUGGCAAUUUGCAAUCUACAGAGCAGGGAGGUGAAUUUAUAGUACAAAUGACUUAAAUAUUGAUGUUUCUCACCCACGCUUAUCAUAUCGGUUCUGAAGACAUGGAUUAAAACACUGGAGUCACAUAGAUUACGUUGAAGCUGCCUUUAUGUGCUUUUUGGAGCUUCAAAGUUCUGGUCACCAUUUAGUUGCAUUGUGUGAACCAACAGAUCUAAAAUGUUCUUCAGAAAGAAAGUCAUCUGGGAUGACACGAGGCUAAGUAAAUGAUGAGAGAUUCUUUUUAUUUUUUGGUGAACUAGCCCUUUAAAAUGGGUUCGUGAAGUGCAGUUUAUGAUUGUUAAUAUUUAAUAAAAUCGAUUGAUGAAACGUCGAGUGUUCAGAGCUGAUGCUAGGCAAAAGGUGGCUACUUUCAAGAAACUAAAACAUAUGAUUGAUUUUGUUUAACUUUUUUGGUCACUUCAUUUGUCCAAUACUUUGUUUGGUUAUUUCAUUGUUUUGGUGAUGGUUUUCUAUUCUGAAAUGAGGAAAAUUUUAAUAAUAAAGAAUGAGUAGGUGUGUCCAAACUUUUGACUAGUAUGGCUGCUUGUGAUUUUUAGUCAGGCAUUUUCAUUGUUUCCUAAACUGGGGCUUUAUUUCCUUUCUUUUACACGUGGAGAUGAGCGGAAACUGAUCUGUUCGAGCACACUUUUGGUGGUGUAGUGUAUGGUUUUUGUUCUCAGCGUUUAUCAAAACCAGUGGGAAACGUAACACAUAACAACAUGCUGACACCACGAGGACCAUUAGCAUAAAUUGUGUGCUUAACUGCAGGUGACCGACCAUUGCAACAGAAGGCUGCUACAGCAACAUGGAUGGGGUUCAGUGACCGUUGUAUGUAAAGCCCACAAAAGCUUCAGGGUGAUCCUUUCUAGCGAAGUGAAAUGACCCUGCAUUAAAGAACCUGUGCUGAGUGGCUGUGAUCUGCAUAUGUAUAUCUGCACUACAUGACAUUUUUAUAAAUAAAGCCUUUUGCCUCCAA